rnacentral:rRNA from 1 species
GCAAGCCUGAUGCAGCCAUGCCGCGUGUGUGAAGAAGGCCUUCGGGUUGUAAAGCACUUUCAGCGGGGCGGAAGGCGUUAAGGUUAAUAACCUUGGCGAUUGACGUUACCCGCAGAAGAAGCACCGGCUAACUCCGUGCCAGCAGCCGCGGUAAUACGGAGGGUGCAAGCGUUAAUCGGAAUUACUGGGCGUAAAGCGCACGCAGGCGGUCUGUCAAGUCGGAUGUGAAAUCCCCGGGCUUAACCUGGGAACUGCAUUCGAAACUGGCAGGCUAGAGUCUUGUAGAGGGGGG